CCCGCCUGCCCAGUGACUAAUUUCAACGGCCGCGGUAUCAUGACCGUGCAAAGGUAGCGUAAUCACUUGUCUUUUAAAUAAAGACCUGUAUGAAAGGCAAAACGAAAGUUCAACUGUCUCUUUAAUCCAAUCAAUGAAAUUUAUCUUUUCGUGCAGAAGCGGAAAUAAAUAUAUAAGACGAGAAGACCCUAUGGAGCUUUAAACACACUAUUAACUACUAUAAUAUUUCAACCAACAGGAAAAAAAUAAAACCACAUAGCUAUAAUACAAGUUUUUGGUUGGGGCGACCGCGGAGAAAAAUAAAUCCUCCGAGAUAAACAAUUUAGAAUAACACUUCGAAAAUUAAAACAUUUAUUAUAAAUGAUCCACUAAGUGACCAACGAACCAAGUUACCCUAGGGAUAACAGCGCAAUCCUUUCUAAGAGUCCAUAUCGACGAAUGGGUUUACGACCUCGAUGUUGGAUCAGGACACCCAAAUGGUGCAGCCGCUAUUAAAGGUUCGUUUGUUCAACGAUUAAAGUCCUAC
rnacentral:rRNA from 1 species